UUGGAGGGCAAGUCUGGUGCCAGCAGCCGCGGUAAUUCCAGCUCCAAUAGCGUAUAUUAAAGUUGUUGCAGUUAAAAAGCUCGUAGUUGAAUUUCGGGAUCAGUUGGUCGGUCGUGCCUCGGUACGUACUGGUCAAAUUGAUUCCUACCUUCUGACGAACCACGAUGUCAUUAAUUUGGUGUCGCGGGAAAUCAGGACUGUUACUUUGAAAAAAUUAGAGUGUUUAAAGCAGGCUCGCGCUUGAAUACAUUAGCAUGGAAUAAUGAAAUAGGACGUUUGAUUCUAUUUUGUUGGUUUUUAGGAUCGACGUAAUGAUUAAUAGGGAUAGUUGGGGGCAUUAGUAUUCAAUUGUCAGAGGUGAAAUUCUUGGAUUUAUUGAAGACUAACUACUGCGAAAGCAUUUGCCAAGGAUGUUUUCAUUAAUCAAGAACGAAAGUUAGGGGAUCGAAGACGAUCAGAUACCGUCGUAGUCCUAACCAUAAACUAUGCCGACUAGGGAUCGGAUGAUGUUAAUUUUUUAAUGACUCAUUCGGCGCCUUACGGGAAAC
rnacentral:rRNA from 1 species